UACGUAGGGGGCUAGCGUUGUCCGGAAUCAUUGGGCGUAAAGCGCGCGUAGGCGGCCAGAUAAGUCCGGUGUGAAAGUCACAGGCUCAACCUGUGAAUGCCGCUGGAAACUGUCUGGCUAGAGUCCGGAAGGGGCGAGUGGAAUUCCUGGUGUAGCGGUGAAAUGCGCAGAUAUCGGGAAGAACACCCGUGGCGAAGGCGGCACUCUGGGACGGUACUGACGCUGAGACGCGAAAGCGUGGGGAGCGAACAGG
rnacentral:rRNA from 1 species